rnacentral:misc_RNA from 1 species
GAUGAAGAACGUAGCGAAAUGCGAUAAGUAAUGUGAAAUGCAGAAUUCAGUGAAUCAUCGAAUCUUUGAACGCACAUUGCGCCCCCUGGUAUUCCGGGGGGCAUGCCUGUUCGAGCGUCAUUUCACCACUCAAGCCUCGCUUGGUAUUGGGCGACGCGGUCCGCCGCGCGCCUCAAAUCGACCGGCUGGGUCUUUCGUCCCCUCAGCGUUGUGGAAACUAUUCGCUAAAGGGUGCCGCGGGAGGCCACGCCGUAAAACAACCCCAUUUCUAAGGUUGACCUCGGAUCAGGUAGGGAUACCCGCUGAACUUAAGCAUAUCAAUAAGCGGAGGA